rnacentral:snoRNA from 1 species
UUACACAAACUUAUAACAUUAAAAAUCUGAAUUAUCUGAUGUGCUAAACCAACCAUGGAGGUAAAUUAACAGCAUGUCUUGAUUUAGUCAUUGCUGUCAGUCAUUUUCAGACAAGU